GAUGAACGCUAGCGGCAGGCUUAAUACAUGCAAGUCGAGCGGUAAGGUUUUCGGACCCUAGAGCGGCGAACGGGUGAGUAACGCGUACGAAACCUACCUUUAAGAGAGGAAUAGCCCUGGGAAACUGGGAGUAAUGCCUCAUAGUAUUCAUUUACCGCAUGGUUUAUGGAUUAAAGCUACGGCGCUUAAAGAUGGUCGUGCGUCUGAUUAGCUAGUUGGUAGGGUAACGGCCUACCAAGGCUACGAUCAGUAGGGGGCGUGAGAGCGUGGCCCCCCACACGGGUACUGAGACACGGACCCGACUCCUACGGGAGGCAGCAGUAAGGAAUAUUGGGCAAUGGACGCAAGUCUGACCCAGCCAUCCCGCGUGCAGGAUGACUGCCCUAUGGGUUGUAAACUGCUUUUAUAUGGGAAGAAUAGCAUAGAUUCAUCUGUGUAUGACGGUACCAUAUGAAUAAGCACCGGCUAAACUCCGUG
rnacentral:rRNA from 1 species